rnacentral:misc_RNA from 1 species
UCUCUCUCUCUCUCUCUCUCAUUGAGACUUGGAAAUUUACAAGAAAAGAAAAUACCUCUUGUGAUAUAGCCUUAGGACUAGAACCUUGGUUAACAAGGAAGGGGCUAAAUCCGCAAGCAUCUUUUCUUUUAAAAAAUGAAUCAAGACAUAUGGAUUAGUCAUUUAUUCAAGCUAUUUAAUUAAAAUACUUGAACUUAUAAUACCCAAAAGUAACUAGAGAUACAGUACAUAGGUUUGACCAUAGUUGUUAAAGGGCAUGUCCUAGGCUCAAGGCUCAACAAAUGUUAGGUCUAGUGCCUCUACCAUGGUCAAGCAAGCUACGAAACUGAUGCACAUGCCUUUUUACUGGCACAAGGUGCAACAAAGAUUUACCUUUGUUAUAUUUUGAUCGUCACCAUCUAUAUAAUCAAAACUAUUGAUAUGAGAUUGGAAAUUAAGAUCCGGUGUAAAUGUAAGGUAAUACACCCAUUUAAACUGGAAGCAACAAAGAAACAAGAAGACCAUGAAUAUAUGGGUUCAUUUGGAAUAAAUUAUUUAUAAGAAAAAAAUUCAAAAGAAUUCUCACACAAUCAUACAUGAGUUCUAUUUUUAAAAUGAAAAAUUUUUAAGUUAAAAAGAAUUGAAUCCUUUCAUUCCAAACAUGAGAAUUAAUAAAAAAGAAAUUAAUUGAAUUGAA